UACGGAGGGUGCGAGCGUUAAUCGGAAUUACUGGGCGUAAAGCGCGCGUAGGCGGUUUGUUAAGUCAGCUGUGAAAGCCCCGGGCUCAACCUGGGAACUGCAGUUGAUACUGGCCGACUGGAGUGCGAGAGAGGGAGGUAGAAUUCCAUGUGUAGCGGUGAAAUGCGUAGAUAUAUGGAGGAAUACCGGUGGCGAAGGCGGCCUCCUGGCUCGACACUGACGCUGAGGUGCGAAAGCAUGGGGAGCGAACAGG
rnacentral:rRNA from 1 species